rnacentral:rRNA from 1 species
UGGGGAAUAUUGCACAAUGGGCGAAAGCCUGAUGCAGCAACGCCGCGUGCGGGAUGACGGCCUUCGGGUUGUAAACCGCUUUCAGCAGGGACGAAGGUUUUCUGACGGUACCUGCAGAAGAAGCACCGGCUAACUACGUGCCAGCAGCCGCGGUGAUACGUAGGGUGCGAGCGUUGUCCGGAAUUAUUGGGCGUAAAGAGCUUGUAGGCGGUCCGUUGCGUCGGAAGUGAAAACUCAGGGCUUAACCCUGAGCCUGCUUUCGAUACGGGCGGACUUGAGGGAUGUAGGGGAGAACGGAAUUCCUGGUGGAGCGGUGGAAUGCGCAGAUAUCAGGAGGAACACCAGUGGCGAAGGCGGUUCUCUGGACAUUUCCUGACGCUGAGAAGCGAAAGCGUGGGGAGCAAACAGGCUUAGAUACCCUGGUAGUCCACGCC